CACUUUUCGUCCUCUUGUUUAUUUGGUGAAAUGCAGCAACUUCUUGUUCUUGUACUGCGAUCUCCUCGACCUUCAUCACAGAGGUUGUAUCAGCAACAAGGUUUUGAAAACAGGACCAGGCAUCAAACCAGUCAAGCUAAAGAAAAAAGGCUUUAACCAAAAACCAAUUUUAGUAAGAAAAAAACAAUAGAUCAUAAAUAAGGAGACAAAAAUUAAGGUUGCGAGAACCGAACUAAUGAAGAUUACGAAUUUAUCUGAGUUUAGUUUAACCUAUAAUUUUAAAAAUAAAAUAAAUAAAAUUAUAAAAAAAA